GGUGGCGAAGCGGAUAGAGUUGACGUAGCUGGCGAUGCUCAGCGUCGAGGCGAUUCGUGAGCGGCUCCUAUUGCUACGACCGUUGAGUCGGGCAUGCUGGAGUUUGCUCUGAGUCUCUCUACGCGGUUUCAUCGUCGGCGUACGCCGUGGCGGCCGGUUACCCCUUCCGAACCGCGAGGCGUGGCCCAAUGCUCUGCAUUGGUCACCUGUCUCGUGGGUAGGUUGAUGUGGCGACUGGUACGCGGACGACCCGGAGUUGAUUCUUCGACUGCGGCUUGCGCGCUAGCGUGCGCCGGCUUCGAGCGGUGGCGUGCCACUCUGUUCGUUGUCCGGCGUUCGCUGGUGUGUCGGCUGCACCGGUGAUCCACGGUGUGAAAGUCGACCACCUAUCCGACCCGUCUUGAAACACGGACCAAGAAGUGUAGUAUGCAUGCGAGUCAAUAGGUGCAAAACCUAAUGGCGUAAUGAAAGUGAAGGCCCGGCUUGACCGGCCUGAUAUGUGAUCCGUUCCUCCGGGAACGGCGCAACAUAGCCCCAUGCCGACUGCUUGCAGUGGUGUGGAGGAAGAGCAUGCAUACUGCGACCCGAAAGAUGGUGAACUAUGCCUGAGCAGGACGAAGCCAGAGGAAACUCUGGUGGAAGUCCGCAGCGGUUUUGACGUGCAAAUCAAUCGUCUGACUUGGGUAUAGGGGCGAAAGACUAAUCGAACCAUCUAG
rnacentral:rRNA from 1 species